AAUGAACGCUGGCGGCGUGGUUAAGACAUGCAAGUCGAACGGUUUUUGUUGUGUAGCAAUACAUAACAAAAGCAGUGGCGAACGGGUGCGUAACACGUGAACAAUCUACCUUCAAAUGGGGGAAUAGCUCGCCGAAAGGCGAAUUAAUACCGCAUGUGGUUGCCUCUCGCAUGAGAAGCAUACCAAAGUCAGGGACCGCAAGGCCUGACGUUAGAAGAGGAGUUCGCGGCCUAUCAGCUAGUUGGCGAGGUAACGCUCACCAAGGCUAAGACGGGUAGCUGGUCUGAGAGGAUGAUCAGCCACACUGGAAACUGAGACACGGUCCAGACACCUACGGGUGGCAAGCCAGUUUCGAAUCAUUCACAAUGGGCAAAGCCUGAUGGUGCGACGCCGCGUGAGGGAUGAA
rnacentral:rRNA from 1 species